CACCAGCAGCGUCUAUGGACCAGACGUAUCUUGGAUCCAUGCUCUUCACUAGGUGGACAGACUGGGUAUUGGCCCCGUCAAAAGCUCUUGCAUUUAUUCUACUGGCAAAAAA
rnacentral:ribozyme from 1 species